AGGCAGCAGUGGGGAAUAUUGCACAAUGGGCGCAAGCCUGAUGCAGCAACGCCGCGUGAGGGAUGACGGCCUUCGGGUUGUAAACCUCUUUUAGCAGGGAAGAAGCGAAAGUGACGGUACCUGCAGAAAAAGCGCCGGCUAACUACGUGCCAGCAGCCGCGGUAAUACGUAGGGCGCAAGCGUUAUCCGGAAUUAUUGGGCGUAAAGAGCUCGUAGGCGGUUUGUCGCGUCUGCUGUGAAAUCCGGAGGCUCAACCUCCGGCCUGCAGUGGGUACGGGCAGACUAGAGUGCGGUAGGGGAGAUUGGAAUUCCUGGUGUAGCGGUGGAAUGCGCAGAUAUCAGGAGGAACACCGAUGGCGAAGGCAGAUCUCUGGGCCGUAACUGACGCUGAGGAGCGAAAGGGUGGGGAGCAAACAGGCUUAGAUACCCUGGUAGUCCACCCCGUAAACGUUGGGAACUAGUUGUGGGGUCCAUUCCACGGAUUCCGUGACGCAGCUAACGCAUUAAGUUCCCCGCCUGGGGAGUACGGCCGCAAGGCUAAAACUCAAAGGAAUUGACGGGGACCCGCACAAGCGGCGGAGCAUGCGGAUUAAUUCGAUGCAACGCGAAGAACCUUACCAAGGCUUGACAUAUACGAGAACGGGCCAGAAAUGGUCAACUCUUUGGACACUCGUAAACAGGUGGUGCAUGGUUGUCGUCAGCUCGUGUCGUGAGAUGUUGGGUUAAGUCCCGCAACGAGCGCAACCCUCGUUCUAUGUUGCCAGCACGUAAUGGUGGGAACUCAUGGGAUACUGCCGGGGUCAACUCGGAGGAAGGUGGGGAUGACGUCAAAUCAUCAUGCCCCUUAUGUCUUGGGCUUCACGCAUGCUACAAUGGCCGGUACAAAGGGCUGCAAUACCGCGAGGUGGAGCGAAUCCCAAAAAGCCGGUCCCAGUUCGGAUUGAGGUCUGCAACUCGACCUCAUGAAGUCGGAGUCGCUAGUAAUCGCAGAUCAGCAACGCUGCGGUGAAUACGUUCCCGGGUCUUGUACACACCGCCCGUCAAGUCAUGAAAGUCGGUAACACCUGAAGCCGGUGGCCUAACC
rnacentral:rRNA from 1 species